UNGUUUUGCUUCUGUGCCUAGGAACCAGA
rnacentral:piRNA from 1 species